rnacentral:rRNA from 1 species
ACACCGGCCGCUCUAGUGGUAGCAAUUUUUAUUGGGCCUAAAGCGUCCGUAGCCGGUUUAAUAAGUCUCUGGUGAAAUCCUGCAGCUUAACUGUGGGAAUUGCUGGAGAUACUAUUAGACUUGAGAUCGGGAGAGGUUAGAGGUACUCCCAGGGUAGAGGUGAAAUUCUGUAAUCCUGGGAGGACCGCCUGUUGCGAAGGCGUCUAACUGGAACGAUUCUGACGGUGAGGGACGAAAGUUAGGGGCGCGAACCGGAUUAGAUACCCGGGUAGUCCUAACUGUAAACGAUGCGGACUUGGUGUUGGGGUGGUUUUGAGCUGCUCCAGUGCCGAAGGGAAGCUGUUAAGUCCGCCGCCUGGGAAGUACGGUCGCAAGACUGAAACUUAAAUGAAUUGGCGGGG